GGGCCAGGCCGCCUGAGCCGCGCGGCUGAACGCGGAAGAGGCGGCGGCGCGGGGGCUGCUCGCGGCGCGGCCUCCCCGCCGCUUCCCUCCGCAGCGCUUCGCCCCCAAAAACACGCCUAGUUCAGUCCCUCGGGUUGCGCAGCUGGUCCCUAUUCCGUAUGCYCCGCAGUCUAGGCUUGGGGAGUGGGGUUGGUUCCUCGGGUCCGGCUCCCUUAAGUAGUGAGGACAGCAGCAGUAGCAGUGACUGGCUUGGUGGGGCAGCGUGGCGCUGCCAGGCUCUGUGCCUGCUGCUCCCUUGCUCCUUCCUACGAAGAAGCGCUGCUGUGUGCCCCUAGCUGUAUCCUUGUCUUCCAGAUACUGACCUAUAAAGGAGUUCAGAUUUAGCUGAAUUGCAGUACUUUGAAAUAUUUUAUUAUGGGGCAAUAUCAUUAAUUUUUGUCUUGUAGUGCUUCAGUACCUUGGUCACCAGUUUCAUCCCAAACUGUGCAAAAGCAGGCUGCAAUUACAGUGCUUCAUUCUGUGGGAGUACUGUCAUUUUCCUGCUGAGAGCAAUUUGGUUAAUGUCAUCUUUGGUUUUACCUGCAUGUUGGUGAAACCAUUUGUCCUUAACAUGUACAAGUAUUUCACUUGUGGCUCGUAAAUGGAUAUAUUUCCCUGGAUUUGGGCCUGGAUUCAGGCCACAGCUCUUCUUUUGUAUUCUCAACAAAAAUACUAUUUAAGCUUUUUGUGCUACUUAAAUACUAUUUUGAAUUAUAUUCAAGUGGCAUCUUCCUUUUAUUAUCAUUGGACAAUGCAAGAUCAUAGGUCUUCUCUCCAAAGGAGGAGCUAGGGUAUUCACCUGCUCAGUAGUAAUGCAUCCCUCUACAGGUGUUUUUACCUCUUCAAGGUUUUGAUUCUGUUGCCACAACAAGCCAGUAUGUUAGUGAAUGAAGAAGGUAACCUGGAGAUUUAAAAAAAUGAGUACAACUCCAAAAGGAGACACUGGAGAAGGACCAAACUGGGCUUGUAAGAGAGACUGCCUACUGGGAACUCUAAUAACACUUGUCUUUCUGCAUCAGAUUGGUACAUCCCUUGCACUGCUCAGCGGCUCCCACAGGAGUUCCUCCUGUCAUGUUGGACUGCAGUGUCCAUUUCUUAUAAGCUGGCCUCAGAUAUUGAUGUUAAGAUGUUUAAGUAAUUUUGUAUCUGAAACAAGAAGACUGUGUUCUAUUAGUGUUCUUUUGUUCAGGGCUCAUAUGUAUUGACAGUAUAGAGGCUUGUUAAUAAAUAUGCACCUGAAUGGUUCGUUUGAAAUUAU
ensembl:lncRNA